GAUGAACGCUAGCGGCAGGCUUAAUACAUGCAAGUCGAGGGGCAGCACGGGUAGCAAUACCUGGUGGCGACCGGCGCACGGGUGCGUAACACGUAUACAAUCUACCUUUAACAGGGGGAUAGCCUUUCGAAAGAGAGAUUAAUACCCCAUAACACAUGAAAUAGCAUUAUUUUAUGUUAAAAGCUCCGGCGGUUAAAGAUGAGUAUGCGUCUGAUUAGCUAGUUGGUGAGGUAACGGC
rnacentral:rRNA from 1 species